UACAGAGGGUGCAAGCGUUGUUCGGAAUUAUUGGGCGUAAAGGGCGCGUAGGCGGUGCGGUAAGUCUGUAGUGAAAUCUCUGGGCUCAACUCAGAGUCUGCUGCAGAAACUGCCGUGCUUGAGGAUUGCAGAGGAGACUGGAAUUCCCGGUGUAGCGGUGAAAUGUGUAGAGAUCGGGAGGAACACCGGUGGCGAAGGCGGGUCUCUGGGCAAUUCCUGACGCUGAGGCGCGAAAGCGUGGGGAGCAAACGGG
rnacentral:rRNA from 1 species